rnacentral:rRNA from 1 species
CAAAACAUGGCUUCUCGUAUUUAAUAAAUGUGAAGUCGUACCUGCCCAGUGAAUUUUUAACGGCCGCGGUACUCUGACCGUGCAAAGGUAGCAUAAUAAUUUGCCUUAUAACUGAAGGCUGGAAUGAAUGGUUUGUCAAGGGUAGAACUGUCUCUAAAGGAUUAUAUAGAAUUUUAUUUCUAGGUGAAAAAGCCUAGAUUAUAUUAAAAGACAAGAAGACCCUAUCGAGCUUUAGGUAAAUUAAUAAAAUAUUUAAGUUAUUAAAUUAAAAUUAAGUUAUUAAAGACUUUGGUUGGGGCAACCGAGGAGUAAACAAAACCUCCUUUAAACUCAAAAUUUAUUGAUGAUGAUCCAGAAGUUCUGAUUACAAGAAAUAGUUACCGUAGGGAUAACAGCAUUAUUUUUUUCAAGAGUUCAUAUCGAAAAAAAAGUUUGUGACCUCGAUGUUGGACCAGAAUAUCCUAAAGAUGUAGAAGUCUUUAAGGGUUGGUCUGUUCGACCAUUAAAAUUCUACGUGAUC